AUUGAACGCUGGCGGCAGGCCUAACACAUGCAAGUCGAACGGUAACAAGAAGAAGCUUGCUUCUUUGCUGACGAGUGGCGGACGGGUGAGUAAUGUCUGGGAAACUGCCUGAUGGAGGGGGAUAACUACUGGAAACGGUAGCUAAUACCGCAUAACGUCGCAAGACCAAAGAGGGGGACCUUCGGGCCUCUUGCCAUCGGAUGUGCCCAGAUGGGAUUAGCUAGUAGGUGGGGUAACGGCUCACCUAGGCGACGAUCCCUAGCUGGUCUGAGAGGAUGACCAGCCACACUGGAACUGAGACACGGUCCAGACUCCUACGGGAGGCAGCAGUGGGGAAUAUUGCACAAUGGGCGCAAGCCUGAUGCAGCCAUGCCGCGUGUAUGAAGAAGGCCUUCGGGUUGUAAAGUACUUUCAGCGGGGAGGAAGGGAGUAAAGUUAAUACCUUUACUCAUUGACGUUACCCGCAGAAGAAGCACCGGCUAACUCCGUG
rnacentral:rRNA from 1 species